UUAUUUACAGGUCCUUUCACCAGGAAGAACAUGGAGAGAUCCAUCAGGGAGCCCAGCAAGAAGGGACCCAGAAGAAAACCAGAUCUAUCAUGGACCAGGAAGAGGAAAAUAUUUAUCAAAUGGCGCCGUCUGUGGGAAACGAAGGAGAUCUUUUCAUCACCGGAGUUUUCACUUUCAAAACCCACUGAGAUCCACAAUGACAAACCACCAAGAAAAUAACCUUAACGUCAUUCCAAAUAAUCUGAGCUCUGCCCAAGAGGGGCAGCGGUUCUUAUUUUCCAGUCCUACAACUCCAAACAACAAACCACCCAUUCCUUUUAACCCCUCGCCGAGCUUGGCCGGGAAUGUGCCCUCCACGAAAGAGAUUUUACUAUCUCAAAAGUUUUCAGAUCCACCCAUUGAGAUCCACAUAAGUCUGGUGAAUAUUUUCUGUAAAAGGAAAAAGGAAUAUAUGUAUUUGUUGGAAUUCUGAGGUCUGCU